rnacentral:rRNA from 1 species
UACGGAGGGGGCAAGCGUUGUUCGGAAUUACUGGGCGUAAAGCGCGCGUAGGCGGUUUAAUAAGUCAUCCGUUUAAUCCCUCGGCUUAACUGAGGUUCUGCGGUUGAUACUAUUAGACUUGAGUACGGGAGAGGAGAGUGGAAUUCCAUGUGUAGCGGUGAAAUGCGCAGAUAUAUGGAGGAACACCAGUGGCGAAGGCGGCUCUCUGGACCGCUACUGACGCUGAGGCGCGAAAGCGUGGGGAGCAAACAGG